UACUUUUGAAAUAUUCAUUAUGUCUAUGUAUACAUUACAAUAAAAAAGCUAUAAAUACACUCCCUGGUGUUACAAUGCGUCUCCAUGAAUGAAUAACAAAUUCCUUGGUUUGUUUCACCGUUCAGAUGGUGGCCGUCGCCUUCCUAACGUGGCUAUUCUUCCUCAAUACACAGUCCCUGCGGUCCGCUGCACUGCUGCGUCAGUCCUCAGGUAGAUGUCAAUCAUCACAAUGUCCUCGAAUGUGCUGAAUGAAGAACAAUAUUCCUGUACUUGGCCACUGAAUAACACUUCAUUUAUCAGUUCAUUCACGCACCCGCGUGUCACUGUUCUCCAUUGCGAUAGAAAGCACAGCACCAGAAGCACUAGCAGCGGUGCAAGACGUCUGGGCGUCACAGCGUCAGUACCAGUGUCCGGCGCUGCUCUUGUCGGACAACCCUAGCCAGGUUGCUCUAACAUUCGUGAAGGUACGUCACUCGUCGAGGCGAGUAAAACCUUUUCCUUAUUCGAGAACUGAAAGACUGUAUUGGCAACAUUUCACUGGAUGACCAUCAUUACUCUCCAGGCGGCUUUUUCAGGAGGCCGAGGAGAAGCUUUCGCCACGCGGCAUCGUCGUCUUCCUGGUGACCCCUCAACAUAGGCAGGGUAACGGAACGCUGGUGUAUCUCAGGGCGAUGGUCGACAAGGUUCGCCAGAUGGGAGGGGUGUGGCACUGCCUGUUGGUGGUGGUGGUGAGUGAUGACCCAGCCUUCCUCUCCGCCUUCGCUCACCUGUCACUCAGGCGUCACGCCCUCAGGUGGUCCACAAGGAUCCUUGUCCUCACUCGCCUCCCCCUCGGCCACCUUGACGGCCUGCAUGGCAUUCUCUCCAACAGGAACGCCAUGCUGCUCCUCGCUCACCGAGGCCAGAAAACAAGGUAACCUCAAUGGUCAUAACAGCAGUAUCCGUUUCUAAUGAGGAAAGACGGUUAGUUAUGAGCACUGUCUUGCAUCGCAA